GAUGAAGAACGUAGCGAAAUGCGAUAAGUAGUGUGAAUCGCAGAAUUCAGUGAAUCACCGAAUCUUUGAACGCACAUUGCGCCCCAUGGUAUUCCGUGGGGCAUGCCUGUUCGAGCGUCAUUUACCCCCUCAAGCUCCGCUUGGUGUUGGGCGUCUGUCCCGCUUCGCGCGCGGACUCGCCCCAAAGGUAUUGGCAGCGGUCGUGCCAGCUUCUCGCGCAGCACAUUGCGCUUCUCGAGGCACCGGUGGGCCCGCGUCCAUCAAGCUCACCCCCCCAGUUUGACCUCGGAUCAGGUAGGGAUACCCGCUGAACUUAAGCAUAUCAAUAAGCGGAGGA
rnacentral:misc_RNA from 1 species